rnacentral:rRNA from 1 species
AGAACGAACGCUGGCGGCAGGCCUAACACAUGCAAGUCGAACGAGCUGGGACCUUCGGGUCCCGAUGCUAGUGGCGCACGGGUGAGUAACACGUGGGAAUCUACCCAAUAGUACGGAAUAACUGAGGGAAACUUUGGCUAAUACCGUAUACGCCCUUCGGGGGAAAGAUUUAUCGCUAUUGGAUGAGCCCGCGUCUGAUUAGGUAGUUGGUGAGGUAACGGCUCACCAAGCCGACGAUCAGUAGCUGGUCUGAGAGGAUGAUCAGCCACACUGGGACUGAGACACGGCCCAGACUCCUACGGGAGGCAGCAGUGGGGAAUAUUGGACAAUGGGCGCAAGCCUGAUCCAGCCAUGCCGCGUGAGUGAAGAAGGCCUUCGGGUUGUAAAGCUCUUUCGACGGGGACGAUGAUGACGGUACCCGUAUAAGAAGCCCCGGCUAACUUCGUGCCAGCAGCCGC